rnacentral:rRNA from 1 species
UACGAAGGGUGCAAACGUUAUUCGGAAUCACUGGGCGUAAAGGGUGCGUAGGCGGCAUGUUAAGUUCGUUGUUAAAGGCUCCGGCCUAACCGGAGUACCGCGAUGGAAACUGGCGUACUAGAGGGUGAGAGAGAGAAGUGGAAUUCCUGGAGUAGCGGUAAAAUGCGUAGAUCUCAGGAGGAACACCAGUGGCGAAGGCGGCUUCUUGGCUCAGUCCUGACGUUGAGGCACGAAAGCGUGGGGAGCAAACAGG